rnacentral:rRNA from 1 species
CCUACGGGGGGCUGCAGUGAGGAAUAUUGGACAAUGGGUGAAAGCCUGAUCCAGCCAUCCCGCGUGAAGGACGACGGCCCUAUGGGUUGUAAACUUCUUUUGUAUAGGGAUAAACCUAGAUACGAGUAUCUAGCUGAAGGUACUAUACGAAUAAGCACCGGCUAACUCCGUGCCAGCAGCCGCGGUAAUACGGAGGGUGCAAGCGUUAUCCGGAUUUAUUGGGUUUAAAGGGUCCGUAGGCGGAUCAGUAAGUCAGUGGUGAAAUCUCAUAGCUC